rnacentral:rRNA from 1 species
AGUACCGUGAGGGAAAGGUGAAAAGCACCCCGGGAGGGGAGUGAAACAGUACCUGAAACCUUGUGCUUACAAGCAGACAUAGCCCGUUAAAGGGUGGUGUCGUACUUUUUGUAGAACGGUCCGGCGAGUUAUAGUAACUGGCGAGCUUAAGGUAUUCAGUACCGGAGGCGAAGGGAAACCGAGUGUGAAUAGCGCGUGAAGUCAGUUGCCAUAGACCCGAAACCAGGUGACCUAGCCAUGUCCAGGAUGAAGUGGAGGUAAAGCUCCAUGGAGGUCCGAACCCACGUACGUUGCAAUGUCCGGGGAUGAGGUGUGGCUAGCGGUGAAAUUCCAAACGAACUUGGAGAUAGCUGGUUCUCCCCGAAAUAGCUUUAGGGCUAGCGUAGGUAAUGAGUUUCACGGAGGUAAAGCACUGUCUGAGCUAGGGGGCGAUAAGCUUACUGAACUCUAACAAACUAAGAAUGCCGUAGAAAUGCUUACCUGCAGUCAGACUGCGAGUAAUAAAAUCCGUGGUCAAAAGGGAAACAGCCCAGACCCACAGCUAAGGUCCCAAAUAUACGCUAAGUGGAAAACGAUGUGAGAUUGCAUAAACAACCAGGAUGUUGGCUUAGAGGCAGCCACUCGUUCAAAGAGUGCGUAAUAGCUCACUGGUCGAGUGAUCUUGCGCGGAAAAUUUAACGGGGCUAAGCGUAUAACCGAAGCUUGGGAAUGUCGAAAGACAUUGGUAGGGGAGCGUCGUGUAUGGGGUGAAGUCGCAUCGGAAGGAGCGGUGGACUGUACACGAGUGAGAAUGCCGGAAUGAGUAGCGAGAAUUAUGUGGGAAUCAUAAUGGCCGAAAAUCUAAGGUUUCCUGGGGAAGGUUCGUCCGCCCAGGGUAAGCCGGGAGCUAAGGCGAGGCCGCGAGGCGUAGUCGAUGCACAUACGGUAGAAAUUCCGUAGCCACCUCACACGAGAAAGCUGACACAUGGAGAUAGUCGAACCCGGCCGUUGGUCGCGCCGGGCGAAAGGGACCGAACUUAUAGUAGGGAAGUCGAUGAUGCUCUGUGGCGAGAAAAGGCGAAGUGAGGUGCCCGUACCGCAAACCGACACAGGUAGAUGAGGAGAGAAUCCUAAGGCCAACGGGAGAAGGGUUGUUAAGGAACUCGGCAAAUUGGUCCCGUAACUUCGGGAGAAGGGACGCCCUCGAAAGAGGGUCGCAGUGAAUAGGCCCAAGCAACUGUUUACCAAAAACACAGGUCUCUGCUAAAUCGAAAGAUGACGUAUAGGGGCUGACGCCUGCCCGGUGCCGGAAGGUUAAGAGGAGGGCUUAGUGGCAACACGAAGGCUUGAAUUUAAGCCCCGGUAAACGGCGGCCGUAACUAUAACGGUCCUAAGGUAGCGAAAUUCCUUGUCAGGU